rnacentral:lncRNA from 10 species
CAUACCCUCAAUUUGCCCAAUUACUCUCCAUAAUUUUUUUUUUUUUUUUUUUUGGUGGCUGAGACACAAAAUAGUAUGCAGGUUCUGAAGACUUCUAUCUGGAGACAGAGGAAAAUCUGACACAAGCAGAAGAGGAGGAGGCAAUGUGACCAUGAGAUCAGAGACUGGAGUGAUAUACCCAUGGGUGAAGGACUGCCGCAAGCACCAGCCCUGUGCAACUGAUUUCAGCCUUUUGGCCUCCGGGACUGUGAGAUAAUAAAUUUCUGUUGUUUUAAGCCAUCAAAUUUGUGGUGAUGUGUAUGGUAGCCACAGGAAACUAAUACAGUUGGAAAUCUUUAAUCUAGGUAUUUAACAAGUGUAGCACCAAAAUUUCAGGGUUUUUUGUCUCUUAAAUUUCAAUUGCAAUGAUUGAGAAAAAGCUUGCCAACAGGAAGACAUUGAAAUCUGUCUCAACAAAAACAAGAACCGAACAAAGUAAAUGGUGAGAGGUCAAAUCAUGCAUGAGAUUUAACUUGAAAAAUCUCCACAUUUGAGAAAAAUUAUUUGAUGAAAUUCUGACUUACAAUGUUGUGCAAAUUUGUAUUCUCUAUUGGAAUAGAAUCACUUGAGAAGCCUUACAAUUUUGCAGCAUUUCAAUAUGGCAAAUUAACCGUAAA